rnacentral:rRNA from 1 species
GCCUACGGAGCGCAGCAGGGAAUCUUCCACAAUGGGCGAAAGCCUGAUGGAGCAACGCCGCGUGGGUGAAGAAGGUCUUCGGAUCGUAAAACCCUGUUGUUAGAGAAGAAAGUGCGUGAGAGUAACUGUUCACAUUUCGACGGUAUCUAACCAGAAAGCCACGGCUAACUACGUGCCAGCAGCCGCGGUAAUACGUAGGUGGCAAGCGUUAUCCGGAUUUAUUGGGCGUAAAGGGAACGCAGGCGGUCUUUUAAGUCUGAUGUGAAAGCCUUCGGCUUAACCGGAGAAGUGCAUUGGUAACUGGG